rnacentral:pre_miRNA from 1 species
GUUUCAAUUUAGAGUUUUCUGGAUACUUAAUAGUUACUAACAAAGAAAGGGUUUCUUCUAUAUUAACUUCUAAGUAUCCAGAAAACUCUAAUUUGAAAC